rnacentral:tRNA from 1 species
GUUUUCGUAGCUUACACAAAGCAUGGCACUGAAGAUGCCAAGACGGUUGCCACAAACACCCGAAAACA